rnacentral:sRNA from 1 species
GGCCUGUGCUCACUUCUGACUUAGUCCUGCGCCACUGUCCUCAGCUCUGUGUCCCAGCCACACUGGCCCCCUUGUACUUCCGUGCCCCCCAGUAGGUUUGCUCCAGCCUCAGGGCCUCGGCACUAGCUGUCCCCUCUGCCUGGAACGCUCUGCUCUGUACCCCUGUACGCCUACCUAGUUAAAUCCUGAUCAUUCUACAGGGUACUUCCUCCGGGAAGCCUUCCUGGGUGUCUCCACGCCAGGCCGGGGUCCUCCUGCAGUGUAGAGUGUCUGUGCCCAACACGAGCUUUUGCUGGCACUCACUGCUGUCUGCUGCCUUUGUCUUCCCGUUGGGUUAAGCACUGUGUGUGUGAGCGGCACCCAGUGUAUCCCAUCCCUGUUGUGUCCCAGUACUUAGUGUGGGGCUGUGCAUACAGUAGGCACCAACUAAGUGCAUUUAGAACAAUGAUGAAAACAAAAGCACAAGUGGGUGGCAGGCAGGCUGGGUGGACGGAAGAUGGGCCUCCAGCCAUGUUGGGGGAGGGGGUGGCUGGCUGGACUCAGCAUCUGUCCCCAGGAUGAAGACAAGCCUGAGGACGAGAUGGCCCAAAAGCGGGCCAGCCUGCUGGAGCGGCAGCAGCGGCGAGCAGAGGAGGCGCGGCGGCGCAAGCAGUGGCAGGAGGUGGAGAAGGAACAGCGGAGGGAGGAGGCCGCGAGGCUGGCCCAAGAGGAGGCCCCGGGCCCAGCCCCGCUUGUGUCCGCAGUCCCGAUGGCGACUCCAGCCCCUGCUGCCCGGGCUCCAGCCGAGGAGGAGGUGGGCCCCCGGAAGGGGGACUUCACGCGGCAGGAGUACGAGCGCCGGGCCCAGCUGAAGCUGAUGGAUGACCUCGAUAAGGUGCUGCGGCCCCGGGCUGCGGGGUCCGGGGGUCCAGGUCGGGGCGGGCGGAGGGCCACCCGGCCUCGCUCGGGUUGCUGUGACGACUCGGCCCUGGCACGAAGCCCAGCCCGCGGCCUGCUGGGCUCUCGGCUGAGCAAAAUCUAUUCCCAGUCCACCCUGUCACUGUCCACUGUGGCCAACGAGGCCCACAAUAACCUCGGGGUGAAGAGGCCCACGUCUCGGGCUCCCUCCCCGUCAGGUCUCAUGUCCCCAAGCCGCCUGCCUGGAAGCCGCGAACGGGACUGGGAAAAUGGCAGCAAUGCCUCCUCCCCAGCAUCAGUGCCCGAGUACACAGGUCCACGGCUGUACAAGGAACCCAGCGCCAAGUCCAACAAGUUCAUCAUCCACAAUGCCCUAUCACACUGCUGCCUGGCGGGCAAGGUGAACGAACCGCAGAAGAAUCGCAUUCUGGAGGAAAUUGAGAAAAGCAAGGCCAACCACUUCCUGAUCCUCUUUCGUGACUCGAGCUGCCAGUUCCGGGCGCUCUACACGCUGUCGGGGGAGACAGAGGAGCUGUCGCGGCUGGCAGGGUACGGGCCCCGGACCGUCACGCCCGCCAUGGUGGAAGGCAUCUACAAGUACAACUCGGACCGCAAGCGCUUCACCCAGAUCCCCGCCAAGACCAUGUCCAUGAGCGUCGAUGCCUUCACCAUCCAGGGACACCUCUGGCAGGGCAAGAAACCUACCACUCCCAAGAAGGGCGGCGGCACCCCCAAAUAGCCCCACCCGGGCGGUCCACGGGCCGGGCCCUGUGUGCU